rnacentral:rRNA from 1 species
CCUACGGGGGGCAGCAGUGAGGAAUAUUGGUCAAUGGCCGGGAGGCUGAACCAGCCAAGUCGCGUGAGGGAAGACGGCCCUACGGGUUGUAAACCUCUUUUGUCAGGGAGCAAGGUGCAGGUCGGGACCUGCUGUGAGAGUACCUGACGAAAAAGCAUCGGCUAACUCCGUGCCAGCAGCCGCGGUAAUAGGGAGGAUGCGAGCGUUAUCCGGAUUUAUUGGGUUAAAGGGGUGCGCAGGCGGAGGCACAAGUCAGCGGUAAAAUCGCGGGCCUCAACCCCGCUCCGCCGUUGAAACUGUUACCCUGGAGUGCGCGAAGGGUAGGCGGAAUGGGGGGUGUAGGAGUGAAAUGCAUAGAUAUCACGCAGAACACCGAUGGCGAAGGCAGCCUACCGGCGCGAAACUGACGCUCAUGCACGAAAGCGUGGGUAUCGAACAGGAUUAGAUACCCGAGUAGUC